UACAGAGGGGGCAAGCGUUGUUCGGAAUUACUGGGCGUAAAGGGCGCGUAGGCGGCCGCUUAAGUCAGACGUGAAAUCCCUUGGCUCAACCAAGGAACUGCGUCUGAUACUGAGUGGCUCGAGUCCGGGAGAGGGAAGCGGAAUUCCAGGUGUAGCGGUGAAAUGCGUAGAUAUCUGGAGGAACACCGGUGGCGAAGGCGGCUUCCUGGACCGGUUACUGACGCUGAGGCGCGAAAGCCAGGGGAGCAAA
rnacentral:rRNA from 1 species